CCGGGCGCGCGGCGGCUCGGGGACGCGCAGCUGUCUCGCCGUUCGACCCGGGAGCUCCACGUUGCAGCCAAACACGAUCCCGUUAACCAACCUUUAUGCAGUGCCUGUUGUCUAUCCGACCCUUUCUCGAGCAUCGGCUCAUUGGCAAAGGAUCGUGAUGCUCACCGGCUGGGGCUUGAGACUCGCUGUGUGACCUUGGGCAAGUGACUUAACCUCUCUGAGGUUGUCGCCAAUCCGUAAAAUAUAAUAGAUGAAAUCUCUCUAUGUCAUCUGGGCUGAUCUCAAACUCCUGGGCUCAGGUGAUCCUCCUGCCUUGGCCUCGGAAUGUGUGGGGACUACAGGCGUGAGCCACCGCACUUGGCCUUAACAAAUGUCAACGAUUGAGCCCCUGUAACUUUCCAUGCCGUUCAGAUCUGGAGAGUGGGAGAAGCUGUUUUCUGAGACAGCAGCUGGAGCUGCCGUUGUGAGCGAAUCCUCUAUCUCCUGAAUCCAGGGAUGAGCUUCAGGUGCCAACAGGUGGCCCAGGUGUUCUAAGCAGUCCUGUUUCCUGCACUUAGCAUUCUUCCCGAGAAGCUCUCCAUGUGAAUUCAGCAGCCAGGCUCCAGUGGGAAGACGAGAGGACUUGGGUGGUAGGUUAACGAUGGCCACAGCUCCACUGGGAAGCUGAGUCUCAUUCUCCUCCCCUUGAACCUGGCCAGGCUGAGGACUGGCUUGGUCAGCAAAGGGUGGCAGAUGCAAGGCCAUGUCUCCAAGAGGCCUGGCGGCUUCCACCUGGCCCUCUUGGAGCCCCCAGGCUGCCAUGCUUUGAGGAGGCUCAAGCCACACAGAGGAGACACCUGUACGUUCUCACAUCGACAGCCCCAGUGGAACUCCAAGCCAUCUCCAGCAUCCACGGAGAGUCAUGUGAACGGACCACCGUGGACAUGUGGCCCGGAUGACUGCAGCCCCCUGACAUCAGAUUGCAGCCGGGUGGGAAUCUGCCCAGCAGGUCCCUGUCAGCCCGCAGAACUGUGCAAGACAAUUAUCAAUGGUAGUUCUAAGCCACUUGGCUUUGGAGUGAUUUGUUCUGCAACCGUCUUUGAUCACUAGGGGACAGCUGUGCACAACUGGGGCCCAUGGCUUCUCAGAAGUUAAAGGUGGGGGCCAGGCACAGUGGCUCACAUCUGUAAUCCUGGCACUUGGGGAGGCUGAGGCAGACUGAUCGCUUGAGGUCAGGAGUUCAAGACCAGCCUGGCCAACGCGGUGAAACCGCAUCUUUACUGAAAAUACAAAAAUCAGCCAGGUGUGGUGGCAGGCACCUGUAAUCCCAGCUAGUCGGGAGGCUGAGGCAGGAGAAUUGCUUGAACCAGGGAGGUGGAGGUUGCAGUGAGCCAAGAUAGCACCACUGCACUCCAGUCUGGGUGAUGGAAUGAGACCCUGUCUCAAAAAAAAAAAAAAAAAAGAAGUUAAAGGUAGGGUGCAGAGGACAUGGGGAGCCCUGAUUUUACCCUUCAUCACAGGAAGGGAAGUCACUUGGCUGCAGGGCCUGGAGAGAGCAUGAAAUCCUCCGUUGGGCUUUGUCUUGGGGCCAAACAUCUCCCAACUGCUCACCCUGGUGAUGGUCCGUCGCUCCUAGUUCAGGAGGCCAGGAUUCAAAUCCCACCUGCCCCACUCAGCGGGGGGUGCCCCUCACUCCAUCACCCAUCCCUGGGUCCUGGCUCCCCUCUGUGGCCCCCCUCCAGGUGGGGGUCAGGUGACGUGUUGACAGCGUUUGUCCCUAGUAGAGGGUGUUGGCAUGGAGGACUAGGAGGGAGUGUGAUCUGACUCUGGGUCCAAAUGCUCAGCUCCGGGCCUCACCAUGCGACCUCUUGUAGGGUGCUUCUUCUGUGAAACAGGCACGAUGAAGCCUCUGCCCAGAUCCUUGUCCCUCUGGCUCUCUCCUCCCCCGGGUCUAGUGUCCAGCCCCUCCGCAGGCUCUCGCUGACACCACAUGUGCUCACAACGCGCCUGCUUCUCCAUUUGGUCGGCCCCCCUGCCAGGAUGUGGGCGUGUAGGCAGGGCUGUGCUCCAGCCCCACGGAACACAGGGCCACUUUGUGGAAUGAAGGGCUGAGUACAUGAAUGAAAGAGCCCGUGCAAAGCCGCAACCUGGCGGCCACUGCACUGUGAAAGGGUCUCCUCCUGCCUGCCCCUGGGAUGGGCUUUCUGUGAAAGGGUCUCCUCCUGGAACUCCUGGGAUGGACUUUCUGUGACAGGGUCUCCUCCUGGAACCCCUGGGAUGGGCUUUCUGUGGGGAAAAGAAAGAGAGAUCAGAUUGUUACUGUGUCUGUGUAGAAAGAAGUAGACAUGGGAGACUCCAUUUUGUUCUGUACUAAGAAAAAUUCUUCUGCCUUGGGAUGCUGUUAAUCUAUAACCUUACCCCCAACCCUUUGCUCUCUGAAACAUGUGCUGUGUCCACUCAGGGUUAAAUGGAUUAAGGGCAGUGCAGGAUGUGCUUUGUU
rnacentral:lncRNA from 10 species